GUCUGAGAUCAAAUAACCCUGAAUGUCCCCGAUCUCAACAGAUCUCGGAGGAUAAGCAGGCUUGAGCAGUGUUAGUACUUUGAUUGGGUGAGAGCCUGGGAAUACCAGGUAUUAUAGGCU
rnacentral:rRNA from 1 species